ensembl:rRNA 5S_rRNA 5S ribosomal RNA
AGUGACAGCCAUAUCACCCUGCAACUCACAACUGGCAACCCACUGAAGCUCAGCAGGUGUGAGCCUGCUCAGUACCUGGAUGGGAGACCUCCUGGGAAAAACUAAGGUUGCUGCUGGAA